AUUGAACGCUGGCGGCAUGCCUUACACAUGCAAGUCGAACGGCAGCACGGGAGCAAUCCUGGUGGCGAGUGGCGAACGGGUGAGUAAAGCAUCGGAACGUGCCCAGUCGUGGGGGAUAACGUAGCGAAAGCUACGCUAAUACCGCAUACGAUCUGUGGAUGGAAGCGGGGGACCGUAAGGCCUCGCGCGAUUGGAGCGGCCGAUAUCAGAUUAGCUAGUUGGUGGGGUAAAAGCCCACCAAGGCGACGAUCUGUAGCUGGUCUGAGAGGACGACCAGCCACACUGGGACUGAGACACGGCCCAGACUCCUACGGGAGGCAGCAGUGGGGAAUUUUGGACAAUGGACGCAAGUCUGAUCCAGCCAUGCCGCGUGCGGGAAGAAGGCCUUCGGGUUGUAAACCGCUUUUGUCAGGGAAGAAACGAGUUUCUCUAAUACAGAGACUUAAUGACGGUACCUGAAGAAUAAGCACCGGCUAACUACGUGCCAGCCGCCGCUGUAAAAC
rnacentral:rRNA from 1 species